AGAACUGGCCCCUGGGAUUUGCUGCUCAGAACCUGAGUUCACUGAGACAUCAGGAGCAAGCACUGGAGGCCGGGUGCUGCUGGACCCAGAUGGGAGCCAUGCAGGACUUGACCAUGGCCUGCACACACUUCUUCCCAGGAGAAGGGGAAUGAGGAAGAACUAGAUCCUAAGAGCAGAAGACAAUCAUAUGUCCUGAGAACCCAUUGGAGGUUGAACAGCGCUGGGUGGAUGGAGAAAGGCAGAAAUGCAGAAUUUCGUCAUUGCCUGGAUGCUGACUUUAUCCAAAGAGAAGAUGCAUGAGGAGUGUACAUGCCUCAGAACUGGAUGCUGAGACAUGCCCCCGCGAUCCCAAGACCACCAGGUACCGUGAGCAAUCACUGGAGCUGGAACACUGCUGCCUGAGGAAGAGAAGAAGUGCAGGCUUGUCAUUGUCUAUGCUGUUACUUGUGGUUCCCGGGUCUUCAGAGAGGAUGCACAAGAACGGGAGAACCGGCCCCUGGGAUUUGCUGCUCAGGACCCGAGUUCAGUGAGACAUCAGGAGCAAGCACUGGAGGCCGGUGCUGCUGGACCCAGAUGGGAGCCAUGCAGGACUUGACCAUGGCCUGCACACACUUCUUCCCAGGAGAAGGGGAAUGAGGAAGAACUGGACCAGAAGAUUUAACUUCCAUACCACAAGCACUGGGGUAGAAGACUGCUGCUGGGUGAAGAAGAGACUAGACUUGAUCAUUGAGCAGCCACUCACUGAUAUCUUCAGUGCUGCAUGAGGAAGGACUGGCCCCUGGGAUUUUCUGCUCAGGACCCGAGUUCACUGAGACAUCAGGAGCAAGCACUGGAGGCCGGUGCUGCUGGACCCAGAUGGGCGCCAUGCAGGACUUGACCAUGGCCUGCACACACUUCUUCCCAGGAGAAGGGGAAUGAGGAAAGUGGGGGGCCUCAAAGCUUCCUUUCCUUUCUGUUUGUCUUGCUAUGUUUUUAUAUUCCUUUUUAUCCAUUUAAUUAUUUAGUACAAAAUCAGGUCCAGUCUCCUUAGAUAUGGCAUUGAUAUAAAGUGUAAAAUGGAAGCUAAAUUCUAGGAGUACAGCAUUGCAUGCUUCUGACAGAGACAAGGAAGGCUAGAAUCACACAGUUAGUGGACACUGCAACUAUAUUGACAUUUUUUUUUUUUUAGACUGUGAAGGUGGGGACAGAUUGCUGCACUCAGAACACCUUCCCUGCUCUGGGGAAACAAACACUGUCAUCAUGGGGAAAAUGUUUCCUGUAGACCCACACAAGCACACACCCCUCCUCCUACAUCCAGCUUCUCCUCAGCCAUUUUGAAGCAGGGAAGAUCAGGGGGAUUCAUGAAUGGCGAAAUUUGGCCUUUUUUAGUGUAUUUCUCUCCUUCUGUAGGCAGACUGGCAUCACCUGACCCUUCAGAGUAUUAACUCAGACCCUGGUGACUGAGGUCCAGUACCAAGUGCUCAGCUGGGCUGCGGUGCAGGGACAGGAAGCAGAAGGGCAGAUUCAACCCCCCUCAGCUGGCCAUGCUAAUCUACUAGCUGGUGUCCUAGGGCAGCAAGGCGCCUCCCUCUCCAGGAUCUGAUGAGAAAACACUGCAGUUCCAGUUUCUUUCGGGGCUUGAAGAGAAGUCAAGGAAGCCCUGCAAGGCACUCACAGCUGAUCAUGCUUUCUGUAAUCGCCCUCCAUCUUCCUUCAUUGCUAGGAAUCAUUGGAAGGACAACAGCGGAGCUGUGAGUUUUGAAACCGCGUCCUCAUGGGGGCAGUAGAGGUCCACACAAGAGCUUAACUGGCCCCUGGGAUUUGCUGCUCAGAACCUGAGUUCACUGAGACAUCAGGAGCAAGUACUGGAGGCCGGUGCUGCUGGACCCAGAUGGGAGCCAUGCGGGACUUGACCAUGGCCUGCACACACUUCUUCCCAGGAGAAGGGGAGUGAGGAAGAACCGGCCCCUGGGAUUUGCUGCUCAGGACCCGAGUUCACUGAGACAUCAGGAGCAAGCACUGGAGGCCGGGUGCUGCUGGACCCAGAUGGGAGCCAUGCAGGACUUGACCAUGGCCUGCACACACUUCUUCCCAGGAGAAGGGGAAUGAGGAAGGUGGGGGCCUCAAGGCUUCCUUUCCUCUCUUUUUGGCUUGUUAUGCUUUUAUAUUUCUUUUUAUCCAUAUGAUUAUUUAGUACAAAAGCAGGUCCAGCCUCCUUACAUAUGGCAUUGAUAUAAAAUGCAAAACAGAAGCUAAAUUCUAGGAAUACAGCAUUGCAAGCUUCUGACACAGACAAGGAAGGCUAGAACUGCACAGUUAGUGGACACUACCUCUGUAUUGACAUUUUUUUCAGUCUGUGAAGGCGGGGACAGAGAGCUGCAGCCAGGACACCUUCCCUGCUCUGGGGCAACACUGCCAUCAUGGGAAAAUGUUUUCUGUAGACCAGCUGAGGCACACACCCCUCCUCCAUCCUGCUUCUCCUCAGCCAUUUUGAAGCAGGGAGGAUGAGGGGGAUUCAUGAAUGGCGAAGCUUGCCCAUUUUACUGUAUUUCUCUCCUACUGUGGGCAGACUGGCAUCACCCGACCCUUCAGAGUAUUAAUGCAGACCUUCGUGACAGAGGUCCAGUACCAAGUGCGCAGCUGUGCUGAGGUCCAGGGACAGAAAGCAGAUGGGCAGAUUCAACCCCCCUCAGCUGGCCAUGCUAAUCUACUAGCUGGUGUCCUAGGGCAGCAGGGUGCCUCCCUCUCCAGGUUCUGAUGAGAAAACACUGCAGUCCCAGUUUCUUUCGGGGCUUGAAGAGAAGUCAAGGAAGCCCUGCAAGGCACUCACAGCUGAUCAUGCUGUCUGUAAUUGGCUGCCAUCUUCUGCCAUUGCUAGGAAUCAUGGGAAGGAGGACAUGUGGUGCUGUGACUUCUGAAACUAUUUUCCUCAUGAUGGCAGUUGUGCUCCACAAAAGAUCUUUUGAUUGUUUCCCCCCCCUCCCCGCUUCCUGUGUGAAAAAUUAUCAAGGAGAAUAUAGGUACCAAGGAAGAUUGGUUCGGUGAACUUUGCCUGUCCUCGAAUCGGUUCAGGGAUGGUUUGUUUUGUUUUUUGUUUUUGUUUUUUUGUUUUCUUGUUUUCCUUCUGAAGUCAUUCUGAGUCCUCAUUCUACCCUAGGUUGUAGGCCAUUUCCUUUUCUACAGCUGUUCAUACUCACCCUUUUUAGCUACUUAAUUUUGCUCUUGAUUGUCUAGUCUUAUUCAUUGGUUACAAUUUUCACACAGGAAAGGUAGUCUAGGAGCUUCGAAAGGAAAGCUUUUUUCAUGCAGGGUGAUUGGUAUUGCUGAGGGCUAACAACCCUUGCCUACCGUAUCCUAGAGCCUGGGUUUGCUCCCCAGGACUGAAAUGGGCACUGUUUGUCAUACAUAAUUAUGCAGCAGGGAAAUUCUCAGUGGUAAUAUUGUAAAACCAACCAAACAAAAAAACCCCCAAAACCAGUCAUGGCAGUAAGCUGUGAUCAGGAUGGAAUUGUAGAAAAGCAUUCAUGGGCUUCUCUCCUUCCUUUUAGUGUUGCCCCCUCCUCUCUGUCACUAAACCCCACUCCAUGUUCCUAGUGUCCCUCUUUUCUCCUCUCCUUCUAUGUACACCCAAAGGCAGAAAUACAGUUCUACAUUGGCUAGCCUAUAUGUCCUUUAAAAGUGUUCUCUCUCAUGAACAAUCUCUGCUUUAUUUCAUUUCCAAUUAAAUGCACACAUAUACCAAGCUGUUAAUGGUGCUUGCUUUGGGUAAUGAUAUUUACAAUAAAGUUUUCAUUUGUUCAUCCUUGAUGUGAAGAUUGGAAAGGUAAUUGAAGAAGCUGAGCUUUGUGGUUUUCGUGA
rnacentral:lncRNA from 1 species